GUGACAUUCUCUCUCUGUUGAGUUACACGCCGUCGAUAGUCUAUCCUUUCGAUCAGGAGUAGCACUGCUUUAUGUGUCUGUCAUUGUAAUAAGUUUUUUGUUGAUUACAGUAGUACAGCUUUGCCAAUGGAGAUAAGCAUUUAGCAAUCGACUGGAAGCAGGCUGCCCUCAGAGCUAACGAGGUGACAGCUGACUGUUUGUGAUGCCGCGGCUCCAGUUUGGUUUUUGAAGCAGCCUUAACAGGAGCCGCAAACGACGUUCACCUCGCAAAGUCCAAGGAUGUCUCCACUGGGGAACAGUCAUCUGCAUCAUGUAGCAGCCUACCACAAGGUGAAUGUGAGGUGGAUGUGGCAGCAGCGGCGACGUCUGAGGAGAAAGUGGCGGACUGAAAGUGUGUUGAGGGCCCGCGGUGAAUGGCGGCGGGUGGCCCGGACGUCGUCAAUGGCAGCACAGUGUUGGUGUUGAUGCUGACUUGUCAACAACGCCAUCAUUCUCACUUGUAAUGGAAUCAUCUGUUACACAUCUGAACUAACAUGGAUGGAGGUGCAUAGAGGACUUCCGUGCCGCUUACAAGAGUUCAUUCAUCUAUUGACUCCGACGCAUAAUGGUUGCACUUCCCACAUUGCAUCCUCAAAGAUACUGCAAAUCUGACUUCUGGGGUACUAAGAACGUAUUAUUUCCUUUCUCACCAGGAGGCCAAGUGAGGUAUUUUUUUUACCGACGGUUGAUACAGAAGAAGGAUACAGUCGACUCCAGAUAAAAAAUGGUUGUCGUGAGUGAAGCAUAAUGAUAACGCUUCAAGGAAAGGCUCAGUGUGUGGAAUGGUUCACUCUGAUCAAAUCGGACAAAUAGAUUCAAAGGGAACUUCCAGACACAAUAUCGGAAGCACCCAUCCUCGCGGACGUCGAUACACAGGUGGUACAGACAUUUUAUGCACACAGCAAGCGUUGAUUUGAAGCAUACUGGACGACGUGGAACAAGUGAACCCGAAACUGGAUGGAUACGGUAGGCAUUUGAACGUUCUCCACGGAAGUCUGUUCAGAGAUCAUCGCAGCAGCUGCAAAUCCCUGGAGCGACAGUGCAUCGGGUCCUUCAGCAACGUGUGCAUAUGUAUCCAUGCCGGCUGCAGUUGUUACAAGUAUUGAAACCAGAUUACGAGCCACAACGUAUGCAGUUCACCGUGGUAGUUCUUUGCAGUUUAGAGAAGGAUGGAUAUUUUCUAAACAACCUAGAAUUUUCUGACGAAGAAACAUUUCACUUGUGUGGUAAGGUAAACAAAAACAAUGUUUGCGUUUGGGGCACAACAAAUCCGCAUACUGUGACGGAUGAAGUACGUUGCCGCCCGAAAGUGAAUGUGUUGUCUGAAGGUUAAUUGCAUUGUGGGACGUCUCUCUCUCUCCCUUUUUUUUAUAUAAAGUAAUUCUAGUGCUCUGAUAUACUGGAGCUGUUUGCGUUACCACAACAGACUGGCCGCCAAGUUACAGUCGUUUUACAACGAGAUAGUGCACCACCACUUUGGGCUCAGACUGUGUCAAAUGUUCUAGAUCACGUGUUUCCAGAUCGCUGGAUGGGCAGGGGUGAUCCAAUUCUCUGGCCUGCUAGGUCACCUGACCUUAAACCUUUAGGCUUCUUUCAAUGGGGUUAUAUGAAGGACAGUGUCUAUCAAGCGCUUGUGAACUGCUUCAUUGAUUUAAAGAACCGAAUCACGGCUGCCAUUGCCACAGUUGGUGUGGAUAUGUUGUGCUGAGUGCGGAUGGUGCUCGAAUACAGGCUGGAUGUUGUGCGUGCCACAAAAGGCGCACAUUACGAAAAGGACUGAAUGCUAUACAAACUGUGUGAAUUACUGUGUCACAUAAGCCAAAAAUUGUGUGAAUAUCUUAAUUAGUUUGGUUGCUA